rnacentral:rRNA from 1 species
GAUGAACGCUAGCGGCGUGGAUUAGGCAUGCAAGUCGAACGGUAUCAUCCUUUCGGGGGUGAGAGAGUGGCGAACUGGUGAGUAACACGUAGGUUAUCUACCCUCAAGACGGGGACAACCCAGGGAAACUUGGGCUAAUACCGGAUGUGAGCAACUUUUAGUUGUUUGAAAGGUGGCGUAAGCUGUCGCUUGGGGAUGAGCCUGCGUCCUAUUAGUUAGUUGGUGAGGUAACGGCUCACCUAGGCAAUGAUAGGUAGGCGGCCUUAACGGGUGGUCGCCCACACUGGGAUUGAGAUACGGCCCAGACUCCUACGGGAGGCAGCAGUCGAGAAUAGUCUACAAUGGUCGGAAGACUGAUAGUGCGACGCCGCGUGAACGAUGAAUCCCUUCGGGGUGUAAAGUUCUUUUAUAUGUGAGCAGUGCUUCUUAUAUUAACAGUAUGGGGAGAGAGAUAUUAGCAUAUGAAUAAGCAACGGCUAACUCCGUGCCAGCAGCCGCGGUAAAA